GAUGAACGCUGGCGGCGUGCCUAAUACAUGCAAGUCGAGCGAAUGGAUUAAGAGCUUGCUCUUAUGAAGUUAGCGGCGGACGGGUGAGUAACACGUGGGUAACCUGCCCAUAAGACUGGGAUAACUCCGGGAAACCGGGGCUAAUACCGGAUAACAUUUUGAACCGCAUGGUUCGAAAUUGAAAGGCGGCUUCGGCUGUCAAUUAUGGAUGGACCCGCGUCGCAUUAGCCAGUUGGUGAGGUAACGGCUCACCAAGGCAACGAUGCGUAGCCGACCUGAGAGGGUGAUCGGCCGCACUGGGACUGAGACACGGCCCAGACUCCUACGGGAGGCAGCAGUAGGGAAUCUUCCGCAAUGGACGAAAGUCUGACGGAGCAACGCCGCGUGAGUGAUGAAGGCUUUCGGGUCGUAAAACUCUGUUGUUAGGGAAGAACAAGUGCUAGUUGAAUAAGCUGGCACCUUGACGGUACCUAACCAGAAAGCCACGGCUAACUACGUGCCAGCAGCCGCCGUAA
rnacentral:rRNA from 1 species